rnacentral:rRNA from 1 species
GACGAACGCUGGCGGCGUGCUUAACACAUGCAAGUCGAACGGAAAGGCCCUGCUUUUGUGGGGUGCUCGAGUGGCGAACGGGUGAGUAACACGUGAGUAACCUGCCCUUGACUUUGGGAUAACUUCAGGAAACUGGGGCUAAUACCGGAUAGGAGCUCCUGCUGCAUGGGGGGGGUUGGAAAGUUUCGGCGGUUGGGGAUGGACUCGCGGCUUAUCAGCUUGGUGGUGGGGUAGUGGCUUACCAAGGCUUUGACGGGUAGCCGGCCUGAGAGGGUGACCGGCCACAUUGGGACUGAGAUACGGCCCAGACUCCUACGGGAGGCAGCAGUGGGGAAUAUUGCACAAUGGGCGGAAGCCUGAUGCAGCAACGCCGCGUGCGGGAUGACGGCCUUCGGGUUGUAAACCGCCUUCGCCUGUGACGAAGCGUGAGUGACGGUAAUGGGUAAAGAAGCACCGGCUAACUACGUG